UAGACUACUUUGUCUACCAGUGCAAUGGACAAAUUUAAAGGAUUAGUAUAGUGUCAAGCAAAAUCUUGGUUAUGGAAAAAAAAUGAUUUAACUAACUGCUGUAGAUGAUGAGAUUCACAAACUUCUGAUAGAUUUUGGUCAAAUUCAAGAAUGCAUCACUUGAAAAACAUACAUUCUUUAGCAACUGAUCUUGGAAUAUUUUGGAUUGGAUGGUCUUUAAAGACAUGAGCUAGUUGUAACUUAAAAGUUGAUCAAGUUACAUUUCCCUGAUGUGCCGAAUAGGAUUGGAGAGUAGUUCAUAAAUUCUGUAAGUUGAUUUAGUAAUUUCUUUUGCUCAUUAAUGUCUUGAAUCCCAACCUUUAUGACCCACAAGAGAAAGAAUGCUAAUGCAUUAACAUUGAAAUAUGUCCCUCAUAGUAAGUUACCUGGCUUAUUUUUCAGGUUAAUAAUCCUAUUUAUUAUGGACUGUUACCUGUAGUUGUUUUUACACGGUAAGUGUAUAGAAGUUAAACUUAAAGCAGAUGCCUGUCGAUAUUGCAGAACACCUUUUGUCUUUCCAAAGUUAUAUAUGUAGUUCAUACAGGCAUAUAUGUUUUUAUUGACUCUGCAAUAUGAAAUGUGCAUUGGCAUAAUUGUCCAGAGAGAAGGAUAAAAGAGAGUAUUGUAUUGUAUUUAUUAUAAUAUCUCAAAGCUUCUUAUACAUCAAAUUAAGUAGAUAAUGUAAAACUUGAUUCCAUGUAUUUCUAGCUUGAUCAGCCUGGCAAAUUUCUGGCUGCAUUGAAUCAUUUCAGUUGAUUCUGCAAAAAGAAACAAGUCAGAAUGUGCAAUAGCUCUAAUUGAGAUGUAUAAUCAUAUGAUGAUAAGCUUACAUGUCACAGUUGAUGGUACGAGAGACGGGAAUAUCCAUUGUAACACCACAUUUGCUAGGUAGAACCUGAGCAGCAUCAUCCUUCAGAUUUGCA
rnacentral:lncRNA from 1 species